AGGAGCGCUGAAGGACCUGAAAAUAAAUGGGGCACACUAUCGACAGAAUCAAAUCCCAAAGCGAGGAUUUGCAGGGACUAGCUCGACAAUGCACUGGAGUCAUCAAGUGGGCACAUUUGGGAGAAAAGCUACUGCUACAAAUCUGUCAGAAGACGACUCGUUCAUGCUUUAUUAAAAAGUGGCUGACAAAGUUCCAAAGGAGAAGAUUCAUCAUACUCAGAAGCUCCAUAAAGAAAGCUGGAUCCCAUCUACGAUCCCAUACAUUUUAUGAGAUCAACACUGAAGAGGUUAUAGUCAAGCAGUUAAGGUCAACUUUGUUCUCUUCUUCAGCUGAAAACUUUUUCCUCAAAAGAAAAAAAAAGAGGAGAGAUAAUAGACUUGGGUAAUAUGGAAGUCACAAAAGAGUUGACAGUCAUGACAAGAAGGAUGAAUAUGAAACUUGUGCUCAAGAGGAAGAGAACAUUGGUGGAGAUUCAGCUGAGAAUGCUCCUUUAAUUAGUUGGAACUUUGGGAUAUCAAUUUUGGAUACAAUGAGCUGAAAAAGUCUAACCUAUUGCUGAAGAUAAGACAGGUAGAAAGCGAGGAAAGAUCAGAGAAAGUGAAAGA
rnacentral:lncRNA from 1 species